rnacentral:rRNA from 1 species
UACGUAGGGAGCAAGCGUUGUCCGGAUUUACUGGGCGUAAAGAGCGCGCAGGCGGUCGUUCAAGUCGCGUGUGAAAGCCCCCGGCUCAACUGGGGAGGGUCACGCGAUACUGAUCGACUCGAAGGCAGGAGAGGGAAGUGGAAUUCCCGGUGUAGUGGUGAAAUGCGUAGAUAUCGGGAGGAACACCAGUGGCGAAGGCGACUUCCUGGCCUGUUCUUGACGCUGAGGCGCGAAAGCUAGGGGAGCAAACGGGG